rnacentral:lncRNA from 1 species
CAAGCAUGCAAGUUUUCUGUGGUUUGUUAGGGCUGGGCCACCAUGUCCUUAGUAGGCAGCAAGGUGGGGUGAUGACCUCUGAUAUCAAACCAUCUGGGAGUUACUGCUGCUUUGUAAAAAAACAAAGGCCCAAAGGUAAAAUGUGGAGAGAGCAGGGUACUGGAACACCGGCUCACAUAUCUGGCAGAGGCACUGAGGCCACUACUGCUGGCCUCUUUUCCGUGCCACCUGAGUUGAUUUCAUUCAACUCAUGUGGUCAGGGGCAAGCACUGGGACAAAGUUCUCCCCAGGAGAGCAGACAAGUUCAUCUUCAAGAAAACUAAGAGAUCUCUUCCCCUGACAAAAAACAACUCCAUGUUUGAUGGGACUCAGACCUGGGCUCUUCUGUCACCUCUAGGUAGGGAGGUCUUGGAGAGCAAGUGAGACCAGAGUGUUCAUGGAAAGUCACCAUCCACAGACAUUGGAAAAAUAGUCAUUCCCAAUUUCUGCUAUGUGAUCCCGUUUAGGAGUCACCCUACCAAGUGGGUAUGAUGAUGAAGGUGAGCUGCUAAGAAAGAGGUUGAGAGACAGCUGAUGUUUGUUUCAAGCAAAUCUUCUUUAACCCGAGGCACCAGGAGCAGAGGGCCAGUGGGUAAAAAGGUUAAGUAGGAUGGAAUCUACAAUAAAGCCAAAUGUGUGGGUUCUAUUGCUGAUCUUGUCGUUAUUUUGGAUUUUUGGAGUGGAG